GGGGAGUGAAUGCAUUAGGUAUAGAUAGGGUAUAGGGGAGUGAAUGCAUUAGGUAUAGAUAGGGUAUAGGGGGAGUGAAUGCAUUAGGUAUAGAUAGGGUAUAGGGGGAGUGAAUGCAUUAGGUUGUGUUUGGUAUAGAUAGGGUAUAGGGGGAGUGAAUGCAUUAGGUAUAGAUAGGGUAUAGGGGGAGUGAAUGCAUUAGGUAUAGGUAGGGUAUAGGGGGAGUGAAUGCAUUAGGUUGUGUUUGGUAUAGAUAGGGUAUAGGGGAGUGAAUGCAUUAGGUAUAGAUAGGGUAUAGGGGGAGUGAAUGCAUUAGGUUGUGUUUGGUAUAGAUAGGGUAUAGGGGGAGUGAAUGCAUUAGGUAUAGAUAGGGUAUAG
ensembl:lncRNA